rnacentral:rRNA from 1 species
GUUCCGACCUGCACGAAUGGCGUAACGACUUCCCCGCUGUCUCCAGCAGAGACUCAGUGAAAUUGAAUUCCCCGUGAAGAUGCGGGGUUCCUGCGGUCAGACGGAAAGACCCCGUGCACCUUUACUAUAGCUUUACACUGGCAUUCGCCAAGGCAUGUGUAGGAUAGGUGGUAGGCUUUGAAGCGUGGGCGCCAGCUCGCGUGGAGCCAUCCUUGAAAUACCACCCUUAUCUUCGUGGAUGUCUAACCGCGGCCCGUUAUCCGGGUCCGGGACAGUGUAUGGUGGGUAGUUUGACUGGGGCGGUCGCCUCCUAAAGCGUAACGGAGGCGCGCGAAGGUUGGCUCAGAGCGGU